AUUGAACGCUGGCGGCAUGCCUUACACAUGCAAGUCGAACGGUAACGCGGGGCAACCUGGCGACGAGUGGCGAACGGGUGAGUAAUACAUCGGAACGUGCCCAGUAGUGGGGGAUAGCCCGGCGAAAGCCGGAUUAAUACCGCAUACGACCUACGGGUGAAAGCGGGGGAUCGCAAGACCUCGCGCUAUUGGAGCGGCCGAUGUCAGAUUAGCUAGUUGGUGGGGUAAAAGCCUACCAAGGCGACGAUCUGUAGCUGGUCUGAGAGGACGACCAGCCACACUGGGACUGAGACACGGCCCAGACUCCUACGGGAGGCAGCAGUGGGGAAUUUUGGACAAUGGGGGCAACCCUGAUCCAGCCAUGCCGCGUGCGGGAAGAAGGCCUUCGGGUUGUAAACCGCUUUUGUCAGGGAAGAAACGGUCUGCGCUAACACCGCGGACUAAUGACGGUACCUGAAGAAUAAGCACCGGC
rnacentral:rRNA from 1 species